AAGGAACUUUAUUCUCCACACAGCUUUCAUCUAUCUGCUCGAAAGACCUGAAGACGAUAACUUUCUGCCUCUCCUGAUGCAUAAAGAUGGCUACAGCUCUGACUCUCCUUUUCAUUGGCUCUCUGCUGCAAGGUACCCUGUGUGGAGAGUUCAGAAUAUUUAUGCCGCAGACUAUUGAGGUUCUCAGUGGAUCAUGUGUGACCAUCCCCUGCUCCUUUGA